rnacentral:rRNA from 1 species
UUCUGCAUUAUCAAAAAGCGGAGGAAAAGAAACCAACAGGGAUUGCCUUAGUAGCGGCGAGUGAAGCGGCAAAAGCUCAAAUUUGAAAUCUGGCUCUUUCAGAGUCCGAGUUGUAAUUUGAAGAAGGUAUCUUUGGGUCUGGCUCUUGUCUAUGUUUCUUGGAACAGAACGUCACAGAGGGUGAGAAUCCCGUGCGAUGAGAUGAUCCAGGCCUAUGUAAAGUUCCUUCGAAGAGUCGAGUUGUUUGGGAAUGCAGCUCUAAGUGGGUGGUAAAUUCCAUCUAAAGCUAAAUAUUGGCGAGAGACCGAUAGCGAACAAGUACAGUGAUGGAAAGAUGAAAAGAACUUUGAAAAGAGAGUGAAAAAGUACGUGAAAUUGUUGAAAGGGAAGGGCUUGAGAUCAGACUUGGUAUUUUGUAUGUUACUUCUUCGGGGGUGGCCUCUACAGUUUAUCGGGCCAGCAUCAGUUUGGGCGGUAGGAGAAUUGCGUUGGAAUGUGGCACGGCUUCGGUUGUGUGUUAUAGCCUUCGUCGAUACUGCCAGCCUAGACUGAGGACUGCGGUUUAUACCUAGGAUGUUGGCAUAAUGAUCUUAAGUCGCCCGUCUUGAACACGGAACCAGAAAGU